AUGAAAACUUUAAAUGGCCGCAGUACCCUGACUGUGCUAAGGUAGCAUAAUCAAUUGGCCUUUAAUUGAGGUCUGGAAUGAAUGGAUUUAUACGGAAGCUAGCUGUCUCUUUUUAGAGUUUGUUGAAGUUAUCUUUAAAGGUGAAAAGGCCUUUGUGUGUGAAAAUAGACGAGAAGACCCUAAGAGUUUUAAUUAUAAGUAAAGGUUUUUGCUUUUUUUUUUGCUGGGGCGGCAAAGAAACAAAUUAACUUUCUUGGUAAAAUUAAUAAAGUUGACGCGAAUUUUAUGAAGAACUAAUAAACUACCUUAGGGAUAACAGCAUAAUUAUUUUAAUGUUUGUGACCUCGAUGUUGGACUAGGAAAGCUUUAACGGCUAGCCGCCGAAAGUAUUAUGUUCUGUUCGAACAUU
rnacentral:rRNA from 1 species